UGCCAGCCGCCGCGGUAAUACGUACGUGGCAAACGUUGUCCGGAUUCACUGGGCGUAAAGCGCGCGCAGGCGGGCUGAUCAGUCUGGGGUGAAAUCUCUCGGCUCAACCGAGAGAGGCCCUCAGAUACUGUCAGCCUUGAGGUGCCUAGAGGAGAGUGGAAUUCAGGGUGUAGUGGUGGAAUGCGUAGAUAUCCUGAGGAACACCAGUGGCGAAGGCGACUCACUGGCUCGAUACUGACGCUGAGGUGCGAAGGCGUGGGGAGCAAACAGGGUUAGAUA
rnacentral:rRNA from 1 species